GCAGCCAUGGAAGUUGUCACACACAAGUGGGAAGCGUUGUCUGUGUGUCAUACAGCAAUCAAUACUACAUCACUCCCAAGUUUCUUUUAGAUGUAUUCAGGGCCACAGGAUUCCUAAAGGAUUAUGGGCUUGAAAAUAGCAUCAUUGGCUUGCUCGAAUCAGUUUGGUAGGGAUGACAGUGACCCAGGGGUAUCUGCGAAUGGGUGAGAUUGCAUUCUCUAAAAACUCAGUGUAGCAGUUGAAUGGGGGAAAUGAAGUGUUAUGAGAGGAAACUGAGAAUGAACUUAUCGCCUCAGUGUCAAAUGUGUCCUUGUGUGCUACAGAGGAAGCUCAACAGUUUAAAGCCCUUGGCCAUCUUGCAGAGAACCAGAGUUUGAACCUCAGUUUCCAUGAAUUACAGGGAUGGAAAUUGAGAGAAGCCUGAGGAAAAGAAGGUCCAGCAACAGGCCCAAAGAGGAAUCCAGAUCAAGAGGAGGUCCUAAAGCCUGACACUAUUACUGAGGCUAUGGAGCACUCACAAAAAGGGGCCUAGCAUGACUGCACUUAGGAAGACCCAACAAGCAGCUGAAAGAGUCAGAGGCAGAUAGUUGCACCCAACCAUUGGACAGAAGCAGCUGACCCCUGUGGUUGAAUUUUGGAAAAAGUAAAAGAAGCUGAGGAGAAGAGCAAUCCUGUAGGAGAACUAGCAGUCUCAAUUAAUCUGAACCCCUGAGAUCUCUCAAAGACUGGACCACCAAAUAGGCAGUAUACACCAGCUGAUAUGAGGUCCCCAACACACAUACAAUAAAGGACUUCCAGGUCUGUGUUCAUUCAGAGAUGAUGCACCUAACCCUCAAGAGACUGGAG
rnacentral:lncRNA from 1 species